CUGUCAUCUUCCCUCGCAAUCAUCCUCUGUUCUUCUCCGCUGUAGAUCCAGUGAUCAGGAUCUCGUCUACUGAUCUAGUUGUUCCCAGGGAUCAGAAUCCCUCCUUCCUCCGCAGCGAUCAGCAUCCCUGCAGCGAUUAUGAUUGCUCCAGCUCGGUUGACAGCCUCUACACGCGACAGCAAUCGACGAACCUUCUCCGCCUCACCGCCGCUCAGCACAGUCACCAGCGACUCUGGUCGAUCGAUCUCCCUGAUUCCUCUUAAUCCCCUUGCUGCCCCGUCGCUGCAGCAACGACAGCGUCCUCUCGUCGGCGUCUUUCUUCACCGUUCAACCCCCCCUCCCGAGCGGCCAUCUCUCACCACCGCAGAUCAAGAGAUCAGGCAGUCACAUCCUCCCACCGCAGGGAGCCUCCCAACUGCCUUCCUUUUCCCACCGUAGGCGGCCUUCCGACUACCUUCUGUCGGCCACUCCUCCUCCCACCGCAUGCGGCCUCUCCUCCAGGAGAAGGGAAGGUGUUUCCUCGCCGGCUUCUUCUGUGGCAUCAUCACCUUCUGUGACCCACCGUACGAGCGCCGUGGCCCCACGGUCGCUGCUGCCAAUCUGCCGACGAUCCCACCAAAUCUCUUGCGCUGCCCAAUCAUCCCACUGCUCUCAUUCUUCAAAGACGUGAACUGAAAGGCCAACAUUCGAAGCCUAGAGCUCAAACCCACCGAUCUAGUUGGAUCAAGUCCCUCCUCGAACUCCUGAAAUGACUGAUCUACCCUUCAACCACAUCAUAUCUCUCAAUUCAAAUAUACAUCAUGUCCUCCUCCAACUCCG
rnacentral:lncRNA from 1 species